GGACAGUCGAAAUGUGGAUAAAACGAAUACUGGGAUUUGCCGUCCCAUUGGUCUCUCCAUCUUCCAGCUAGAUGCUCAUUCCUCUUUAGUCAAGCAGUAAAUGAUGAUUGCCAUUUGGUCUGGAAAGGAUGGGUUCCAAACUCUGCACCGAGCCUCACGUCACUCAUAUGGAUGGAAGUGAGGGGCAUGUGGAGAAUCAUUUGGAAAAUAAUUCUUACUAUAUUUUUCAUCCCCCAAAACAACAGAGAAGCAGACCCAAACUUUGUGGCCAAACUAUGAUCUUCACUUUGUUUUGAUUACUCGAACUUACAUCCUAUUCCUCAUGUUUUGAUAUGAAACAGGUUCCAGAAGCUACAAUCAAUUCUAGUCCACUAUUGUAAUAAUUUCCUCUAACAUUUUUCAAAACCCAGAGUGAUUUACUUUCCUAAAAUGGGUCUCAUUUUAUGGUUUACUUUGGUAACUUUGUUCCCAAUGAUUCUCAGUUCUUUUUUCCUGUUAUAGAGGCUUUUAACUGCAUUGCACAGAGCACUUAACUGAGUAUUUUCGGCUUGGCUGUGAACAUUUUACACCGUGUGCAAAGCACUCAGACUUUCUAUUUUAUUUUGUUUUUCUUCCUGCCCAUACAAAAAUUCCCUUUAAAUUUAAGUGAAGCAUUACUCAUCUAGAACUGAAAGCUGUUGUUUUACCUCAGAGUUCAUUGUUUAUCAGUUCACAUUCACAUUUUUAAAAUUCAACUUACUUUGCCAAGAUGCUACAUACUUUACUUUUUCAUCAUUUCUAUUAUAUUUUUCUCAACUUGCUUCUUGUGGUCUUGCACUACAUUAAUCAUCAAGUUUUA